GCCGAAGUGGUGGAAUUGGUAGACACGCUACCUUGAGGGGGUAGUGAGCUUAUGCUCGUGGAGGUUCAAAUCCUCUCUUCGGUACCA
rnacentral:tRNA from 1 species